UACGAAGGGGGGCUAGCGUUGCUCGGAAUGACUGGGCGUAAAGGGCGCGUAGGCGGCGGACACAGUCAGAUGUGAAAUUCCCGGGCUCAACCUGGGGGCUGCAUUUGAUACGUGUUUGCUUGAGUGGGGGAAGAGGGUCGUGGAAUUCCCAGUGUAGAGGUGAAAUUCGUAGAUAUUGGGAAGAACACCGGUGGCGAAGGCGGCGACCUGGUCCUUGACUGACGCUGAGGCGCGAAAGCGUGGGGGAGCAAACAGG
rnacentral:rRNA from 1 species